rnacentral:lncRNA from 1 species
UUCUGACAGUACAGUAGGAUUAAAAAAUAUUGCAUAAAUGAUGCUUAAAGUCUAAAAUGUCACUUUCAGGCUCUUGCUGCCCCGGGUGCCCCCGUCGCUGCUGCUGCUGCCGUGCCCUCUGAGGUGGAGAUCCUCCUGGCUCAGCAGGCAGCUGCAGCUCACGCCCUUCCUGCUCGUGGCUUCAUCAAACACGAGAUUCCCCAGCCUGCAGGCAGAGAUAGCAUUGAAGUUCUCUACCCAUUCGGCUUUGCUCCCGCUGCCCCGGCUGCCCCGGCUGCCCCAGCCGCACCUGCUGUCCCAGUUGCCCCUGUAGCUCCUGUUGCCCGGGCCCCUCUUCCCAGGAGUGAUGAUGAUGAUGAGAACGAUGACUAAAAACAGACAAUCUGAUGAGAAGCUGACUACUACACUUAAAAGCUAAAGACAAAAAAAGCUGCUUUUAAUGUUUUAGUCACAGGAGGCAUUAAAUUUGCAUAUGGAUGAGCAGAUAAAAAUUUCUUUGCCUGGAUGCAUUAAAAGAAAAAAAAACGUUGAAAUUGGUUAAGCUUUGUUUCUGUUUUUUUAAUUUUUUGUUGUUUUGUACCGCAUUAAUGAUUUGAGUUUAAAUAAAAAAAUAAACUGUACAAUACGUUUCU